rnacentral:rRNA from 1 species
ACUCCUACGGGAGGCAGCAGUGGGGAAUAUUGCACAAUGGGCGCAAGCCUGAUGCAGCCAUGCCGCGUGUAUGAAGAAGGCCUUCGGGUUGUAAAGUACUUUCAGCAGUGAGGAAGGUGGGUAUGUUAAUAGCAUACUCAUUUGACGUUAGCUGCAGAAGAAGCACCGGCUAACUCCGUGCCAGCAGCCGCGGUAAGUACGGAGGGUGCGAGCGUUAAUCGGAAUUACUGGGCGUAAAGCGCAUGCAGGUGGUUGUUAAGUCAGAUGUGAAAGCCCGGGCCCAACUCGGAAUUGCAUUUGAAACUGGCAAACUAGAGUACUGUAGAGGGGGUAGAAUUUCAGGUGUAGCGGUGAAAUGCGUAGAGAUCUAGAAGGAAUACCGGUGGCGAACGGCGGCCCCCUGGACAGAUACUGACACUCAGAUGCGAAAGCGUGGGAGCAAAC